rnacentral:rRNA from 1 species
UUAAGCGACUAAGCGUACACGGUGGAUGCCCUGGCAGUCAGAGGCGAUGAAGGACGUGCUAAUCUGCGAUAAGCGUCGGUAAGGUGAUAUGAACCGUUAUAACCGGCGAUUUCCGAAUGGGGGAAACCCAGUGUGUUUCGACACACUAUCAUUAACUGAAUCCAUAGGUUAAUGAGGCGAACCGGGGGAACUGAAACAUCUAAGUACCCCGAGGAAAAGAAAUCAACCGAGAUUCCCCCAGUAGCGGCGAGCGAACGGGGAGGAGCCCAGAGCCUGAAUCAGUGUGUGUGUUAGUGGAAGCGUCUGGAAAGGCGCGCGAUACAGGGUGACAGCCCCGUACACAAAAAUGCACAUGCUGUGAGCUCGAUGAGUAGGGCGGGACACGUGGUAUCCUGUCUGAAUAUGGGGGGACCAUCCUCCAAGGCUAAAUACUCCUGACUGACCGAUAGUGAACCAGUACCGUGAGGGAAAGGCGAAAAGAACCCCGGCGAGGGGAGUGAAAAAGAACCUGAAACCGUGUACGUACAAGCAGUGGGAGCCUCUUUAUGGGGUGACUGCGUACCUUUUGUAUAAUGGGUCAGCGACUUAUAUUCUGUAGCAAGGUUAACCGAAUAGGGGAGCCGAAGGGAAACCGAGUCUUAACUGGGCGUUAAGUUGCAGGGUAUAGACCCGAAACCCGGUGAUCUAGCCAUGGGCAGGUUGAAGGUUGGGUAACACUAACUGGAGGACCGAACCGACUAAUGUUGAAAAAUUAGCGGAUGACUUGUGGCUGGGGGUGAAAGGCCAAUCAAACCGGGAGAUAGCUGGUUCUCCCCGAAAGCUAUUUAGGUAGCGCCUCGUGAAUUCAUCUCCGGGGGUAGAGCACUGUUUCGGCAAGGGGUCAUCCCGACUUACCAACCCGAUGCAAACUGCGAAUACCGGAGAAUGUUAUCACGGGAGACACACGGCGGGUGCUAACGUCCGUCGUGAAGAGGGAAACAACCCAGACCGCCAGCUAAGGUCCCAAAGUCAUGGUUAAGUGGGAAACGAUGUGGGAAGGCCCAGACAGCCAGGAUGUUGGCUUAGAAGCAGCCAUCAUUUAAAGAAAGCGUAAUAGCUCACUGGUCGAGUCGGCCUGCGCGGAAGAUGUAACGGGGCUAAACCAUGCACCGAAGCUGCGGCAGCGACACUAUGUGUUGUUGGGUAGGGGAGCGUUCUGUAAGCCUGUGAAGGUGUACUGUGAGGUAUGCUGGAGGUAUCAGAAGUGCGAAUGCUGACAUAAGUAACGAUAAAGCGGGUGAAAAGCCCGCUCGCCGGAAGACCAAGGGUUCCUGUCCAACGUUAAUCGGGGCAGGGUGAGUCGACCCCUAAGGCGAGGCCGAAAGGCGUAGUCGAUGGGAAACAGGUUAAUAUUCCUGUACUUGGUGUUACUGCGAAGGGGGGACGGAGAAGGCUAUGUUGGCCGGGCGACGGUUGUCCCGGUUUAAGCGUGUAGGCUGGUUUUCCAGGCAAAUCCGGAAAAUCAAGGCUGAGGCGUGAUGACGAGGCACUACGGUGCUGAAGCAACAAAUGCCCUGCUUCCAGGAAAAGCCUCUAAGCAUCAGGUAACAUCAAAUCGUACCCCAAACCGACACAGGUGGUCAGGUAGAGAAUACCAAGGCGCUUGAGAGAACUCGGGUGAAGGAACUAGGCAAAAUGGUGCCGUAACUUCGGGAGAAGGCACGCUGAUAUGUAGGUGAAGCGACUUGCUCGUGGAGCUGAAAUCAGUCGAAGAUACCAGCUGGCUGCAACUGUUUAUUAAAAACACAGCACUGUGCAAACACGAAAGUGGACGUAUACGGUGUGACGCCUGCCCGGUGCCGGAAGGUUAAUUGAUGGGGUUAGCGGUAACGCGAAGCUCUUGAUCGAAGCCCCGGUAAACGGCGGCCGUAACUAUAACGGUCCUAAGGUAGCGAAAUUCCUUGUCGGGUAAGUUCCGACCUGCACGAAUGGCGUAAUGAUGGCCAGGCUGUCUCCACCCGAGACUCAGUGAAAUUGAACUCGCUGUGAAGAUGCAGUGUACCCGCGCAAGACGGAAAGACCCCGUGAACCUUACUAUAGCUUGACACUGAACAUUGAGCCUUGAUGUGUAGGAUAGGUGGGAGGCUUUGAAGUGUGGACGCCAGUCUGCAUGGAGCCGGCCUUGAAAUACCACCCUUUAAUGUUUGAUGUUCUAACGUUGGCCCCUGAUCGGGGUUGCGGACAGUGUCUGGUGGGUAGUUUGACUGGGCGGUCUCCUCCUAAAGAGUAACGGAGGAGCACGAAGGUUGGCUAAUCCUGGUCGGACAUCAGGAGGUUAGUGCAAUGGCAUAAGCCAGCUUGACUGCGAGCGUGACGGCGCGAGCAGGUGCGAAAGCAGGUCAUAGUGAUCCGGUGGUUCUGAAUGGAAGGGCCAUCGCUCAACGGAUAAAAGGUACUCCGGGGAUAACAGGCUGAUACCGCCCAAGAGUUCAUAUCGACGGCGGUGUUUGGCACCUCGAUGUCGGCUCAUCACAUCCUGGGGCUGAAGUAGGUCCCAAGGGUAUGGCUGUUCGCCAUUUAAAGUGGUACGCGAGCUGGGUUUAGAACGUCGUGAGACAGUUCGGUCCCUAUCUGCCGUGGGCGCUGGAGAACUGAGGGGGCUGCUCCUAGUACGAGAGGACCGGAGUGGACGCAUCACUGGUGUUCGGGUUGUCAUGCCAAUGGCACUGCCCGGUAGCUAAAUGCGGAAGAGAUAAGUGCUGAAAGCAUCUAAGCACGAAACUUGCCCCGAGAUGAGUUCUCCCUGAGACUUAGAGUCUCCUGAAGGAACGUUGAAGACGACGACGUUGAUAGGCCGGGUGUGUAAGCGCAGCGAUGCGUUGAGCUAACCGGUACUAAUGAACCGUGAGGCUUAACCUU